rnacentral:rRNA from 1 species
GGGCGUANGGGCUCGCAGGCGGUUUCUUAAGUCUGAUGUGAAAGCCCCCGGCUCAACCGGGGAGGGUCAUUGGAAACUGGGGAACUUGAGUGCAGAAGAGGAGAGUGGAAUUCCACGUGUAGCGGUGAAAUGCGUAGAGAUGUGGAGGAACACCAGUGGCGAAGGCGACUCUCUGGUCUGUAACUGACGCUGAGGAGCGAAAGCGUGGGGAGCGAACAGGAUUAGAUACCCUGGUAGUCCACGCCGUAAACGAUGAGUGCUAAGUGUUAGGGGGUUUCCGCCCCUUAGUGCUGCAGCUAACGCAUUAAGCACUCCGCCUGGGGAGUACGGUCGCAAGACUGAAACUCAAAGGAAUUGACGGGGGCCCGCACAAGCGGUGGAGCAUGUGGUUUAAUUCGAAGCAACGCGAAGAACCUUACCAGGUCUUGACAUCCUCUGACAAUCCUAGAGAUAGGACGUCCCCUUCGGGGGCAGAGUGACAGGUGGUGCAUGGUUGUCGUCAGCUCGUGUCGUGAGAUGUUGGGUUAAGUCCCGCAACGAGCGCAACCCUUGAUCUUAGUUGCCAGCAUUCAGUUGGGCACUCUAAGGUGACUGCCGGUGACAAACCGGAGGAAGGUGGGGAUGACGUCAAAUCAUCAUGCCCCUUAUGACCUGGGCUACACACGUGCUACAAUGGACAGAACAAAGGGCAGCGAAACCGCGAGGUUAAGCCAAUCCCACAAAUCUGUUCUCAGUUCGGAUCGCAGUCUGCAACUCGACUGCGUGAAGCUGGAAUCGCUAGUAAUCGCGGAUCA